CAAGAGCCAAUCCGAAUUGAUCUUGUAACAGAUCUGCAACCGAACGAAUACGUUUAUUUUUCAAGUGAUUCAUAUCGUCAUCGUCAAGUAUACCCAUUCCAAAUUUCAUUCCAAUCAAAUGAUCCGUAGCGGCCAAUACAUCUCGUGGUAACAAGAAUGUAUUGUUCUGAGGUAUAUCAAGAUUAAGUCUCCGAUUCAUAUUUCGUCGACCAAUCCUUCCUAAUUCACAUUUUUGUUGAAAAAAAAUUUCUUUUGUAAUUCCUCGCAUAAGGACUCCGAAAAUACCAGGUCCCCACCUACACAAGCAAAUUGUUGAUAAAACUCCAAAAUAGCUUUUUCUUUUGACUCAAUCCUCUUCUUCUCCUUAGCAUUCGGGAAAGAAAGAAAAUUUCAGGGUAGGAAACAUUAUCUAGAAUUUCUCUUAGAUUCGAAGUGUUUCCUUAUUCUUUUAUUAUAUGAAUUUGAAUUGGUUCUUAAUUGAGAUUCGAUUUGAUAAUUUUAAAAUACGAGGAUAAGAUGUCAGAAAUCUUGGUAUCCAAAGAAAGGUCCCUAAGGGGCAUUCUUUUUUUUUUCAAUCUAAGAUUCAAGAAGGGACUCCACGAAAGAAUAUCAAGACUUAUUAAUUAUUAUACAUUUUUUUAUCGUACAUCUUAUGUUACCU